rnacentral:rRNA from 1 species
UGGGGGAUAUUGCACAAUGGGGGAAACCCUGAUGCAGCGACGCCGCGUGAGCGAUGAAGUAUUUCGGUAUGUAAAGCUCUAUCAGCAGGGAAGAAAAUGACGGUACCUGACUAAGAGGCCCCGGCUAACUACGUGCCAGCAGCCGCGGUAAUACGUAGGGGGCAAGCGUUAUCCGGAUUUACUGGGUGUAAAGGGAGCGUAGACGGCUGCGCAAGUCUGAAGUGAAAGGCGGGGGCUCAACCCCCGGACUGCUUUGGAAACUGUACAGCUAGAGUGUCGGAGAGGCAAGUGGAAUUCCUAGUGUAGCGGUGAAAUGCGUAGAUAUUAGGAGGAACACCAGUGGCGAAGGCGGCUUGCUGGACGAUGACUGACGUUGAGGCUCGAAAGCGUGGGGAGCAAACAGGA